rnacentral:rRNA from 1 species
AGUGGACGCUGGAGGCGUGCUUAACACAUGCUAGUUGAACGAGAACGGAUUAUAGCUUGAUAUAAUUGUUAGCUAUGUGGCGCACGUGUGAGUUACGUAUAGGUAAUAUGCCUCUUACUAAGGCAUAACCAAUGGAAACGCUUGCUAAUACCUUAUAUUACUUCUUAACACCAGUUACUAAGUGAAAGAUUUAUUGGUAAGAUAUUAGGCUGUAUUGUAUCAGUUAGUUGGUGGGGUAAUGGCUUAACAAUACUAUGACACAUAACUGGUUUGAGAAGAUGAUCAGUCAGACUGGUACUGAGACACGGUCCAGACUCCUACGGUAGGCAGCAGUGGGGAAUAUUGGACAAUGGACGAAGGUCAGAUGCAGCAACGCCGCGUGGAGAAUAACACAUUUCGGUGCGUAAACUCCUUUUAUAUGAGAAGAUAAUGACGGUAUUAUAUGAAUAAGCACCGGCUAACUCCGUGCCAGCCGCCGCAGUAA